rnacentral:lncRNA from 1 species
GAUAAUCAGUUUGUGAUCAAAAUUGAAUAUUAGACUCUGUUUCAUCUGUUUAUGAUUGACAUGUGAUUAUAGAAAUGAACAAGUAGAUAAGCGAUUAUUGAUGAGAUAAGGGAGGGAAGUAACUAACCUGUUUGCGAGCGUCCAUGAGUGUGCGUGUGUGUGUGUUUGAGAUCGAAUUUAGAAGAGAAAGGGUUUAGAAUUAUGGAUUAGAGUGAAAAAUGAAAAAAAGAGGGGAAAAAUAAGCAAGCAAGCAAGCAAACACAGCUAAGCAAAUGGGAGAGAAGAGAAGAGAAAGAGAGGUCCCCUCUUCGGUUUGUUUGUGACUGGUAGCAGCGAAAAGGAAAGGAGCUCUGUUAUGACUUAUGAAUGAAUUAUGAAACUUGUGAUUGCA